UUACCCCUAAUAUCCGCCAGGGGACUACAAGCGUUAGCUUAAAACCCAAAGGACCUGGCGGUGCCUCAUACCCACCUAGAGGAGCCUGUUCUUGAAUCGAUAAUCCCCGUUCAACCUCACCACCCCUUGUUCAACCCGCCUAUAUACCGCCGUCGUCAGCUCACCCUGUGAAGGUCUUAAAGUGAGCAAAAUGGGCACAACCCAAAACGUCAGGUCAAGGUGCAGCGUAUGCGGUGGGAAGAAAUGGGCUACAUUACCUACCCCAGGUCAUCACGGAAAGGGUUGUGAAACCAGCCCUGGAAGGUGGAUUUAGCAGUAAGAAGAAAAUAGAGAGUUC
rnacentral:rRNA from 1 species